AGCCGGUGAUGAAUCUUUAAUUUUCUGACACCUCGUAUGAGAGCUGCACUGUAGCUCCUGAUUCCAGCGCUGUUCUGAGGCUC